rnacentral:misc_RNA from 1 species
GCAACAUCUUCUGGCAGAAUGAGAUCAGAGCCAAAGGCUUUUGGUGCGGUUCAGUAUCCAUAAGGAUUGUUUUCCACUCCCUCAGUGUUUUCAAGAAGGCCACAAAGGACAGUUAUGAUAAAAGGAACAAAUUCAAAAUAGAACUUACAGUUCAAAAAGUGAGAAUUACUGGUUUUAUUUGUUGUUUGGUGGUUGUGUACUUCUGUAAUUUAGUAGUCAUAUAUAUAUAUAUUCCAAUUUUCCCUUUCAGAUUAGGAAGCUCAGUGAACUUUUCCGACCUGCCGUGUUUCAAUCAGUGCCAUCAGAUGCAGUGCCUGUCCAUUCCCCAUCAAUUCAGGAUAGGAAAGUGGGAAACCUUUGCCAAGUCAGUGGUGAUGGUCGGAGUUAUCCUGCAGUCUCUCAUGAAAUUGAUCGGCGUAUUGGGCCCACGGAGGUGAUAUCAACACAGAGAGAGGAAGCUCCUCGUGAUUUAUACAUGAGU